rnacentral:lncRNA from 1 species
UUUUUCAUAUGUAUAACCCCACGCUCCUAUGAAUUAAGAGAGAGAGAAACGGAGAGAGAGAAAUAAAGAGGGAAAGAGAUGUUCGCGAUCCGACCCGAACCUUCGCGAUCGGACCCGAAUUUAUCUCCAUUUUCCAGCCACCUUACCGACCAAGGAAGGUACCAAUAGAAAGCUUGAGAACUGGCCGUCAUUUCCAUUCCGUCAUUGCCGUCGAUUAUUGGCCGGAAAGCCGUUUAUUGAAGCCGCAAAAUUUGGCGGUGAAGCCGCAUUGUUUCGCCGCUGUUCCGCUAGUUUUGGGUGAGGCGACCAGUUGGAUUUUGUUCCCCACAAUCCCCUCUGUCCUUUCCGACCAUCCACUGAGCCGGGAACUGCCCUGUCCCGGCCGGUCAGCCGUUGGAAAGUUCAUGGCUUUGGGAGCUCGAUCAGCCACCGUCGCCGCGCGUCGAUCGUCACCGCCGCCACCAUCGGACUCAGCGUGGUUGGAACUCUCAGGCUAGAGCUUCCCGACGGCCUUUGGUUGACUUUCGGUCAUCGUUGACCAGUAAGGCCAUUUCGGUAAUUUCGUAUCCGAGGGCAAUUUUAUAGUUUCACACUUUGCGGGUAUUUUAGUAAUUGUAUAAAUCAAGAAUAGGCUGGUAAUUUACGAUUUUGAGAUUAACUUGGUAAAUUAUGAUUUUGGGGGUAUUCUAAUAAUGUUAGAAUUUGAGGGUAUUUUGGUAAUUUUGUUAAAUUUGAAGGCGAUUUUAUAAUUUUUGGAUUUGUGCAUAUUUUGGUAGUUUCUGAAUUGGAGAAUAAUUAGUAAUUUAUGAAAUUGAGAAUGAUUUGGUAGUUUAUAAUUUUGGAAUUUUUAGAUUAUUUAUGUGAUUUAUGAGUUUGAGGGCAUUUCGAUGAAGGUUGGGUUAUUUGAACUCAACAAACGCCUCACUAAAUCUAUUUUUGAGAUUAAUCUUUUAUGAUUAAAAUACUCUUAAAUUAAAUUACAAUUAUGGAUAUUAAAAUAUAAUAAAAAAACAGAAUUUUAAUUUUUUCAGCCCAUUUAUACAUCAACAUAAUUUUGUUAAAUCAUAAUCUUAUUUUCAUUAAAUCCUAAUUAACUAGAGGCAUGAAUUACGAGUGGCAAUCUUUUACUUUCAAUUAUCUUCCUACGGUUUGAUGCGCAUUCAAAUGGAGCUCAUCAUCGAUCAUUGAGUCAUGUGCUCUGAUUAUAAUAUUAAUCCUUAAAUUUUCUGAAAACUUUAAUUAUCAUUAAUCAAAAGCAAAUUGUAUUUUAAUUAACGGGUUAAAUUUCUUUUCUUUUCAAUUUGGCCAUUUAGUGGAGCCGAAUUAAGCUAAGCCGCAUCACCAUUCACCAAUGGUAGCUCAGCCUCUCCGCUAACAAUAGGCAUGGCUGAUUCUCAAUUAUCUGAUUAUCAUCACAAGCUCAAGUAGCACCUACGCUAACAAAUUCAUUUUGAUUUAAUUACCAUCUCCAUCGGUGUUAAAAAAAAUAAAUGAUUUCAAUGAAGAUUUAUAAAUGAAGUUAAUGGAUUUAGCGAGUUAAAAUAUUAUUAUUAUAAAAAUUGAGUUUAGUGAGUGUAUAUUAAGUAUUUAUCCGUACUAAUAUUUUAGCAUCCUAAUGAUUUCAAUUUAUCCAAUAAAUAUACAAUUGAAUCAUCUUAUAAAAUAAGUAUCUAAUCCUACUUUGAAGUAUUAAAAAAAGAAAAAAAAAGUUGAAUUGAAGACAUAUUUGAAAAUAAAAUAAAUUUUAUUAUUUAAUAAAAUUAUAAAAAUGCAAGGGGUAUAUCCAAAAGUUUCCGGGGUCUAGCCCAGGCUUGCUGUCUUAAGCAAAAAUUCGAAUCAAAUCAAAAUUAAAUUCUUUUUCUCCUCUCAUUUUUUAGAUGGGUUUCUUUGAUAGCCAAUCGAGAUCAAAAAAAGAAAUGGCAAAGGGAGAAUGAAUACAAGUAAAAAAAAAAAAAAAGAAGAAUAAGAAUAAUAAUUUAAGUGACUAGAUUUUUUCUUUCCUUGAAAUAUUGUCAUGUCGAUAAUUUUCUCUGCUAUAAUUUAUUAAUAAAAUUUAAUCGACAUAUGCGUGAAGAAGAAGUGCAAUUUUUCAUGAGAGAUUGAAAAGUGACUAACAUGAAGUUAACUUUUUUCUUCAGUUAGUAAUUUCAGUUAGUUUUAAAAACGUUAUGUUUUUUACAUCUAAAUAAAAUAUAGAUAGGAGGACAGGGGUAGAAACUCUUACAUCAAGUGAGAAUAAGUUUUUAUGUACUAUAUAUAUAUAUAUAAGAGGAGAUUAUGGUGAUAGGUAAGAUUAAAUUUAUUAACAAAAAUUUAAAAACAUCUUAUUAAUAUAAAAUUAUAAAAAAAUAAAUAAAUACUCACCUUAGAAUUUCUUAAAUACCAUGUUUCAAAAUCUCUUAUAAAGUUUAGGAAAAAAAAAUUGAAGUUGAAAAUUUACAAAUCAUUUUCCUAAUUUGAGAAGAUAUAUAAGUUUAGUGAAACUUAAUAAGUCUUUUCCUUCUUCCUUUUCCUUAACUAGUCAGGCUUUCAUUUUCCUUGACUAGUUAGGAUAUACAUCCUUAUAUAAAGAUGCUUACAUUGAGCUCCCAAAUCCCAACUUCGCAAUAGAGUUAAUAAAUUAGAAGGUAUCGAGUUCUUGGUUUUCAGUUUUUUCUUGAAUCGUCGAUCAAAAAACUUGAUUAGCUAUGAAGCAGAAGGCAAUUGACUCCGAAGAAGGAUGGGACUAUUUGGAUCGGGGAAUCACAAAAUUGAAGAGGAUUUUCGAAGGAUUGCCGGAGCCAACGUUUAAUUUGGAGGAUUACAUGAUGCUUUACACAACCGUAUACAAUAUUUAUUCUGAGUCGACUUAUCCUCUUGACAAAAAUAGCAAACAGUUGUAUAACAAUUACAAGCAAAUACUUGAAGAUUAUAUGCCAUCAAAGGUAUUGCCAUCUUUGAGAGAGAAGCACGAUGAGUAUGAUUUGUUGAAGGAGCUUUUGAAAAGCUGGGCUAAUCAUAAAUUUUUGGUUAAAUGGCUUUCACUCGUCUUCCUUCCUCUUCAAGUUGAAUUCGCUUAUAUUACUCGAAAGAAACUUCCUAAACUUAAUGCGUUUGGACUUUCUUGCUUCCGGGAUCUGGUGUUUGAUGCUAUAAAGGACAAAGUCAAGGAUGCUGUAAUUGCUUUAAUCGAUAGAGAACGCGAGGGAGAAGAGAUUGACAGAACGUUGGUGAAGAAUGUAUUGAAUUUAUUCGUUGAGAUUGACGAGGGGAAGAUGCAUUGUUACGAAAAGGAUUUUGAAGAACAUAUGCUUCAGGAUACGGGGGCUUAUUAUUCUCGCAAGGCAUCAAAUUGGAUUCUUCAGGAUUCGAGUGAAGAUUACAUGCUCAAGGUUGGUGAAUGCUUGAAGAAAGAAAGAGGGAGAGCGUCUCAUUACCUGCAACCAAGCAGCGAGCGGAAAUUGACGGACAUACUAGAACAUGAGUUGUUGGUGGUGCGUGCAAGUCAGCUUCUUGAAGAAGGAGAAUUUGGAUGCAGACAAUUGCCUAGAGGAGAUAAGGUGGAUGAUCAUUCGAUUAUCUGCUGUGACAGCGAGAAAUCGAGGAAUGAAUUAGGCAUUGGAGAAACAUUGGAGUAGGUUCUUAGAUUGUGAUGCACACCAAGAAACCCUAAAGUUCCUAGUCAAUUUCAAGUCUAUUAAUUUUAUAAUUUCUAUUCCAUUGGAUUUUUUUUUUUUCCUUGAGCACUAAUUAAUUGGCAUUGCUGCCUUAGAUAUCGUGAUGAGUAAGCAUGCCGAUGAAUAUGUUUUAUACAUUAAUUAAAAAUUUUAGACAACCCCAUAGAUAAAGAUAGACCUAAGAACUAAUUAUGAACAAAAUAGUAAUGGGUAUAAAUUGCCUUCUCAAUAAUUAUUCGUUGCAUUGUGGUUCAUACGAAAGAAUAUGAAUAAGUUAUCAUUAUUUGUUCUUCUUUUCCUUUCUAAUUUUUUUUUUAGCGACUUCUUCAAUCCUUUCUCUCCCUAUCCCCAAUUAUUUUGAGAUUUCUCUUCACCAUUCGUUAAUUUUCCUUUUCAAUAAAUUUUGAAUGUAUUUCAUGAAUCCAAUUUGGUAAGCCAAUGUGUAUAACAAAAUCUCUCACCCCACCAACCAACCAUUUUUCUUAUUUUUCUUUCUUCAUAUAAAGUUCUUGUCUAAGAAUAGAGAAUUCACUUCCAGAUCACAAGUAUAUGGGCUUGGAAGUUGUUUUCCAGCUAAAACUUUUGGGCCAACAAUCAAGGCCUAUCAAGCAAACAACUUUUGUCCUCCUGCACUUACCUCGUUUCGUUGAUAAAGAAAAUCCCUUAAGUUGAUGAAUUUGUGCUUCGUAAUCCUAAUUGUUUGAAUUCCGUCAAGCAAUGCAACAGAACACAAAAUGUCCUUUUCACCCUUAGGAUUUAAUAUAAUACAUAUUUCAUCCCUAUAUUUUAAAUAAUAGUGUAAAGUAUUCUUUCAUUAAUUUGCCAUUAGUUUAUUAUAUUUUUUUUGCAAGCUCCAUUAGCAUACUUGGUAGUUUGCAUACAAUUUUUGACAAUUUAAUUUUUUAAAAUUAAAAAUUAAUAUAAUUUUUUUAUAUUUAGGGCUAAAUUAGUAAUUUAAUUAUUUUCUUUUUAUUAAUGUCCAAGUAAAAAAAUAAUUAUAAAUGGGCAAUAUUGUUAAAGUAAGACAAAAGAAAUAAAAAGUAACAAUAUGAAUAUCAAUACUUUAACGGCAGAGAUUUAAAAAAAUACAAGGACUAAAUAAAUAUUAAUCUUAAAAUAUAGAGACUAAAUGAUCUUUUAUCCUUUACACAACCGUAUACAAUAUUUGUUCCCAGCCGGAUCGUCUUCUUGAUGAAGAUCCCAAACAGCUGUAUGACAAGUAAAAGCAAGUACUUGAAGAUUAUAUGCCAUGAAAGGCAUUGCCAUCUUUGAGAGAGAAGCACGAUGAGUAUCAUUUGUUGAGGGAGCUUUUGAAAAGCUGGGCUAAUAAUGAAAUUUUGGUUAAAUGGCUUUCACGCGUCUUCCUUCCUCUUCAGGUAGGUUAUAUUCCUCGAAGGAAACUUCCUAAACUUAAUGCGAUUUUAAAGGAAAUAAAUGAUGAAAUUAUGAAAAUAUUGUUAAUUGUUAUUAUAUCAUUGAGUAAUAAUAAGAAUCUUAAUAUUAAAGUUUUAAUUUGCGUUCUAAAGUUCAUUUUAAAUUAGUUUAGGAGGUUUAAAAGUGAUUUUAAAAAUUUAAAAAUUAAUUUUAAUAUUUCAUAAAAAAAUUAAAAUUAUUUUUUAUCAAAAUCAGUCCAUAUGAUUUUAAAUUUAAAUUUAAAUUUAGAGAAUUAAUUUUAUAUUUUAAUACAAUUUUAAUUUUAUCCUCUACCAUUAUACUUUGAGUAAUGAUACAACCACAAACUCUUGUACAAAUUUAUUUUAUACAAACUGAUGUGGCAUGAUAAGAUUGAUUGAAUUAAAAAUCACUUGGCCCACAUGAUUUGUUUUUAUUAUUUUAUAUUUUCAUUCAACCAAUGAAUUAAUGACACGUCAGUUUAUACAAAAUAAAUUUAUAUAAAAAUUUAUAGCUGUAUCAUUACUCUUAUACUUUAGUUAAAAUAAUGUGUUUCGUAUUGCACCCAAUGACAAUGUCAUUAUUGUUGACAUACUCUUUUUUUUUUAAAUAGACCAAACCAUUUUUUUUUUUUUCUGUGUAUUACCCCACGCCCCUAUGAAUUAAGAGAGAGAGAAACGAAGAGAGAGAAAGAAAGAGGGAAAGAGAUGGGAGCGAUCCGACCCGAACCUUCGCGAUCGGACCCGAAUUUAUCUCCAUUUUCCAGCCACCUUACCGACCAAGGAAGGUACCAAUAGAAAGCUUGAGAACUGGCCGUCAUUUCCAUUACGUCAUCGCCGUCGAUUAUUGGCCGGAAAGCCGUUUAUUGAAGCCGCAAAAUUUUGCGGUGAAGCCGCAUUGUUUCGCCGCUGUUCCGCCAGUUUUGGGUGAGGCGACCAGUUGGAUUUUGUUCCCCACAAUCCCCUCUGUCCUUUCCGACCAUCCACUGAGCCGGGAACUGCCCUGUCCCGGCCGGUCAGCCGUUGGAAAGUUCAUGGCUUUGGGAGCUCGAUCAGCCACCGUCGCCGCGCGUCGAUCGUCACCGCCGCCACCAUCGGACUCAGCGUGGUUGGAACUCUCAGGCUAGAGCUUCCCGACCGCAUUUGGUUGGCUUUCGGUCACCUUUGACCAGCAAGGCCAUUUCGGUAAUUUCGUAUCCGAGGGCAAUUUUAUAAUUUCAUACUUUGCGGGUAUUUUAGUAAUUGUAUAAAUUGAGAAUAGGCUGGUAAUUUACGAUUUUGAGAUUAACUUGGUAAAUUAUGAUUUUGGGGGUAUUCUAAUAAUGUUAGAAUUUGAGGGUAUUUUGGUAAUUUUGUUAAAUUUGAGGCGAUUUUAUAAUUUUUGAAUUUGUGCAUAUUUUGGUAGUUUCUGAAUUGGAGAAUAAUUAGUAAUUUAUGAAAUUGAGAAUGAUUUGGUAGUUUAUAAUUUUGGAAUUUUUAGAUUAUUUAUGUGAUUUAUGAGUUUGUGGGCAUUUCGAUGAAGGUUGUGUUAUUUGAACUCAACAAACGGCUCACUAAAUUUAUUUUUGAGAUUAAUUUUUUAUAAUUAAAAUAUUUUUAAAUUAAAUUACAAUUAUGGAUAUUAAAAUAUAAUAUAAAAAAACAGAAUUUUAAUUUUUUCAGCCCAUCUAUACAUCAACAUAAUUUUGUUAAAUCAUAAUCUUAUUUUCAUUAAAUCCUAAUUAACUAGAGGCAUGAAUUACGAGUGGCAAUCUUUUACUUUCAAUUAUCUUCCUACGGUUUGAUGCGCAUUCAAAUGGAGCUCAUCAUCGAUCAUUGAGUCAUGUGCUCUGAUUAUAAUAUUAAUCCUUAAAUUUUCUGAAAACUUUAAUUAUCAUUAAUCAAAAGCAAAUUUGAUUUUAAACAACGGGUUAAAUUUCUUUUCUUUUCAAUUUGGCCAUUUAGUGGAGCCGAAUUAAGCUAAGCCGCAUCACCAUUCACCAAUGGUAGCUCAGCCUCUCCGCUAACAAUAGGCAUGGCUGAUUCUCAAUUAUCUGAUUAUCAUCACAAGCUCAAGUAGCACCUACGCUAACAAAUUCAUUUUGAUUUAAUUACCAUCUCCAUCGGUGUUAAAAAAAAUAACUGAUUUCAUUGAAGAUUUAUAAAUGAAUUUAAUGGAUUUAGCGAGUAAAAAUAUUAUUAUUAUAAAAAUUGAGUUUAGUAAGUGUAUAUUAAAUAUUUAUCCGUACUAAUAUUUUAGCAUCCUAAUGAUUUCAAUUUAUCCAAUAAAUAUACAAUUGAAUCAUCUUAUAAAAUAAGUAUCUAAUCCUACUUUGAAGUAUUAAAAAAAGAAAAAAAAAGUUGAAUUGAGGACAUAUUUUAAAAUAAAAUAAAAUUUAUUAUUUAAUAAAAUUUUAAAAAUGCAAGGGGUAUAUCCAAAAGUUUCCGGGGUCUAGCCCAGGCUUGCUGUCUUAAGCAAAAAUUCGAAUCAAAUCAAAAUUAAAUUCUUUUUCUCCUCUCAUUUUAUAGCUAAAUUUCGAUAAUUGGAAAACUAGACUAACGACACAAAGUCUUGAAAACAAAAUGGUUUGAUGGGUUUCUUUGAUAGCCAAUCGAGAUCAAAAAAGAAAUGGCAAAGGGAGAAUGAAUACAAGUAAAAAAAAAAAAGAAGAAUAAGAAUAAUAAUUUAAGUGACUAGAUUUUUUCUUUCCUUGAAAUAUUGUCAUGUCGAUAAUUUUCUCUGCUAUAAUUUAUUAAUAAAAUUUAAUCGACAUAUGCGUGAAGAAGAAGUGCAGUUUUUCAUGAGAGAUUGAAAAGUGACUAACAUGAAGUUAACUUUUUUCUUCAGUUAGUAAUUUCAGUUAGUUUUAAAAACGUUAUGUUUUUGACAUCUAAAUAAAAUAUAGAUAGGAGGACAGGAGUAGAAACUCUUACAUCAAGUGAGAAUAAGUUUUUAUGUACUAUAUAUAUAUAAGAGAGAUUAUGGUGAUAGGUAAGAUUAAAUUUAUUAACAAAAAUUUAAAAACAUCUUAUUAAUAUAAAAUUAUAAAAAAAUUAAAUACUCACCUUAGAAUUUCUUAAAUACCAUGUUUCAAAAUCUCUUACAAAGUUAAGAAAAAAAAAAUUGAAGUUGAAAAUUUACAAAUCUUUUUCCUAAUUUGAGAAGAUAUAUAAGUUUAGUGAAACUUAAUAAGUCUUUUCCUUGACUAAUUAGGCUUUCCUUUUCCUUAACUAGUUAGGAUAUACAUCCUUAUAUAAAGACGCUUACAUUAAGCUCUCAAAUCCCAACUUCGCAAUAGAGUUAAUAAAUUGGAAGGAAUCGAGUUCUUGGUUUUCAGUUUUUUCUUGAAUCGUCGAUCGAAAAACUUGAUUAGCAAUGAAGCGCAAGGCAUGUGACUCCGAAGAAGGAUGGGACUAUUUGGAGCGGGGAAUCACAAAAUUGAAGAGGAUUUUCGAAGGAUUGCCAGAGCCAGCGUUUAAUUUGGAGGAUUACAUGAUGCUUUACACAACCGUAUACAAUAUUAACUCCCAGCGGACUUAUCCUCUUGACAAAAAUAGCAAACAAUUGUAUAACAAUUACAAGCAAGUACUUGAAGAUUAUAUGCCAUCAAAGGUAUUGCCAUCUUUGAGAGAGAAGCACGAUGAGUAUGAUUUGUUGAGGGAGCUUUUGAAAAGCUGGGCUAAUCAUAAAUUUUUGGUUAAAUGGCUUUCACUCGUCUUCCUUCCUCUUCAAGGUGAAGGCGCUUAUAUUACUCGAAAGAAACUUCCUAAACUUAAUGCGUUUGGACUUUCUUGCUUCCGGGAUCUGGUGUUUGAAGCUAUAAAGGACAAAGUCAAGGAUGCUGUAAUUGCUUUAAUCGAUAGAGAACGCGAGGGAGAAGAGAUUGACAGAACGUUGGUGAAGAAUGUAUUGAAUUUAUUCGUUGAGAUUGACAAGGGGAAGAUGCAUUGUUACGAAAAGGAUUUUGAAGAACAUAUGCUUCAGGAUACGGGGGCUUAUUAUUCUCGCAAGGCAUCAAAUUGGAUUCUUCAGGAUUCGAGUGAAGAUUACAUGCUCAAGGUUGGUGAAUGCUUGAAGAAAGAAAGAGGGAGAGCGUCUCAUUACCUGCAACCAAGCAGCGAGCGGAAAUUGACGGACAUACUAGAACAUGAGUUGUUGGUGGUGCGUGCAAGUCAGCUUCUUGAAGAUGGAGAAUUUGGAUGCAGACAAUUGCCUAGAGGAGAUAAGGUGGAUGAUCAUUCGAUUAUCUGCUGUGACAGCGAGAAAUCGAGGAAUGAAUUAGGCAUUGGAGAAACAUUGGAGUAGGUUCUUAGGUUGUGAUGCACACUACGAAACCCUAAAGUUCCUAGUCAAUUUCAAGUCUAUUAAUUUUAUAAUUUCUAUUCCAUUGGAUUUUUUUUUCCUGAAGCACUAAUUAAUUGGCAUUGCUGCCAUAGAUAUCGUGAUGAGUACGCGUACCGAUGAAUAUGUUUUAUACAUUAAUUAAAAAUUUUAGACAACCCUAUAGAUAAAGAUAGACCUAAGAACUAAUUAUGAACAAAAUAGUAAUGGGUAGAAAUUGUCUUCUUGACAAUUAUUCGUUGCAUUGCGGUUCAUACGAAAGAACAUGAAAAAUUAUCAUUAUUUGUUCUUCUUUUCCUUUCUAAUUUUUUUUUUUAGCGACUUCUUCAAUCCUUUCUCUCGCUAUCCCCAAUUAUUUUGAGAUUUCUCUUCACCAUUCGUUAAUUUUACUUUUCAAUAAAUUUUGAAUGUAUUUCAUGAAUCCAAUUUGGUAAGCCAAUGUGUAUAACAAAAUCUCUCACCCCACCAACCAACCAUUUUUCUUAUUUUUCUUUCUGCAUAUAAAGUUCUUGUCUAAGAAUAGAGAAUUCACUUCCCAGAUCACAAGAAUAUGGGCUUGGAAGUUAUUUACCAGCUAAAACUUUUGGGCCAACAAUCAAGGCCUAUCAAGCAAACAACUUUUGUCCUCCUGCACUUACCUCGUUUCGUUGAUAAAGAAAAUCCCUUAAGUUGAUGAAUUUGUGCUUCGUAAUCCUAAUUGUUUGAAUUCCGUCAAGCAAAGCAACAGAACAGAAAAUGUCCUUUUCACCCUUAGGAUUUAAUAUGAUACAUAUUUCAUCCCUAUAUUUUAAAUAAUAGUGUAAAGUAUUGUUCCGUUAAUUUGCCAUUAGUUUAUUAUAAUUUUUUUGCAAGCUCCAUUUGCAUACUUGGUAGUUUGCAUACAAUUUUUGACAAUUUAAUUUUUAAAAAUUAAAAAUUAAUAUAAAUUUUUUAUUUUUAUUUUUAGGGCUAAAUUAGUAAUUUAAUUAUUUUCUUUUUAUUAAUGUCCAAGCAAAAAAAUUAUUAUAAAAGGACAAUAUUGUUAAAGUAAGACAAAAGAAAUAAAAAGUAACAGUGUGAAUAUCAAUACUUUAAGGGUAAAGAUUUUAAAAAAUAUAAGGAUUAAAUAAAUAUUAAUCUUAAAAUAUAGAGACUAAAUGAUCUUUUAUCUUUUACACAACCGUAUACAAUAUUUGUUCUCAGUCGGCUCGUCCUCUUGAUGAAGAUCCUAAACAGCUGUAUGACAAGUAAAAGCAAGUACUUCAAGAUUAUAUGCCAUGAAAGGCAUUGCCAUACUUGAGAGAGAAGCACGAUGAGUAUCAUUUGUUGAGGGAGCUUUUGAAAAAUUGGGCUAAUCAUGAAUUUUUGGUUAAAUGGCUUUCACGCGUCUUCCUUCCUCUUCAAUUCGGUUAUAUUCCUCGAAGGAAACUUUCUGAACUUAAUGCGAUUGUAAAGGAAAUAAAUCAUGAAAUUACGAAAAUAUUGUUAAUUGUUAUUAUAUCAUUGAGUAAUAAUAAGAAUCUUAAUAUUCAAAUUUUAAUUUGAGUUCUAAGGUUCAUUUUAAAUUAUUUUAUCAGGUUUACAAAUAAUUUUAAAAAUUUAAAAAUUAAUUUUAAUAUUUAAUAAAAAAUUAAAAUUAUUUUUUAUCAAAAUCAGCCCAGAUACUUUUAAAUUUAAAUUUAGAGAAUUAAUUUUAUAUUUUAAUACAAUAUUAAUUGUAUCCUCUACCAUUGUACUUUAGUUAAAAUAAUGUAUUUCGUAUUGCACCCAAUGACCAUGUCAUAAUUGUUGACAUACUUUUUUUUUUAAAAAUAAACCAAACCAUAAUUUUUUUUUCAUAUGUAUUACCCCACACCCCUAUGAAUUAAGAGAGAGAGAAAUGAAGAGAGAGAAAGAAAGAGGGAAAGAGAUGGGAGUGAUCCGACCCGAACCUGCGCGAUCCGACCCGAAUUUAUCUCCAUUUUCCGGCCACCUUACCGACCAAGGAAGGUGCCAGUAGAAAGCUUGAGAACUGACCGUCAUUUCCAUUCCGUCAUUGCCGUCGAUUAUUGGCCGGAAAGCCGCUUAUUGAAGCCGCAUUGUUUCACCGCUAUUUUGCCAGUUUUGGGUGAGGCCACCAGUUGGAUUUUGUUCCCCACAAUCCCCUCUGUCCUUUUCGACCAUCCACUGAACCGGGAACUGCCCUUUCCCGGCCGGUCAGCCGUUGGAAAGUUCAUGGCUUUGGGAGCUCGAUCAGCCACCGUCGCCGCGCGUCGAUCGUCACCGCCGCUACCAUCGGACUCAGCGUGGUUGGAACUCUCAGGCUAGAGCUUCCCGACCGCCUUUGGUUGACUUUGGGUCACCGUUGACCAGCAAGGCCAUUUCGGUAAUUUCGUAUUCGAGGGCAAUUUUGUAAUUUCACACUUUGCGGGUAUUUUAGUAAUUGUAUAAAUUGAGAAUAGGCUGGUAAUUUACUAUUUUGAGGUUAACUUGGUAAAUUAUGAUUUUGGGGGUAUUCUAAUAAUGUUAGAAUUUGAGGGUAUUUUGGUAAUUUUGUUAAAUUUGAAGGCGAUUUUAUAAUUUUUGAAUUUGUGCAUAUUUUGGUAAUUUCUGAAUUGGAGAAUAAUUAGUAAUUUAUGAAAUUGAGAAUGAUUUGGUAGUUUAUAAUUUUGGAAUUUUUAGAUUAUUUAUGUGAUUUAUGAGUUUGAGGGCAUUUCGAUGAAGGUGGGGCUAUUUGAACUCAACAAACGGCUCAAUAAAUCUAUUUUUGAGAUUAAUUUUUAUGAUUAAAAUAUUUUUAAAUUAAAUUACAAUUAUGAAUAUUAAAAUAUGAUAAAAAAACAGAAUUUUUAUUUUUUCAGCCCAUCUAUACAUUCAACAUAAUUUUAUUAAAUCAUAAGUUUAUUUUCAUUAAAUCCUAAUUAACUAGAGGCAUGAAUUACGAGUGGCAAUCUUUUACUUUCAAUUAUCUUCCUACGGUUUGAUGCGCAUUCAAAUGGAGCUCAUCAUCGAUCAGUGAGUCAUGUGCUCUGAUUAUAAUAUUAAUCCUUAAAAUUUCUGAUCAUUGAGUCAUGUGCUCUUAUUAUAAUAUUAAUCCUUAAAUUUUCUAAAAACUUUAUGUUAAAGUCUGAGCUUUAAACUGAUUUUCAGGAGGUCAACCGUCAUGUCGGUUUGUGGUUAUUUUGGUAUACAACAUGUCAGCUGUAAAGCAUACAAGUCUGUAUGACAGACUUGUAUCGUCAACCAAAAGCUUUUAGUAAAGCACGCACAUUUCACGUGCUUUCACUUACUCUGUACGACAUUGAAGAUUGUCGUUUUGGAGAAGAGUUCAACACGUGUCCUGAAGGCUGUUAAAUUCAGUUACUACAGGCGGAAAAAUUCUGAGUUCGUUAGCUAACAAACCCAGAUUACAGCUGGUUGACAGGGGGCCUUUGUAAUGGGCUUCAAGCUAGUAUAAAUAGUCUAAGGGACUGGGAAAUCAGGGUGUGUGUUGUUUGUAGCUUCAUCUCUAAACUUGUAACUUGUUCAUGGUUAUUGAAUCAAAGCUGUUGCUCUGUUCUUCAGUGGAUAUAGGCUGCCUCCAGCCGAACCACUUACAUUUGUUGUUCUUUGCAUACUGUUUCUGGGUGAUUCUUUUGUAUGAAUUUGAUUAAUUUAGAUCUUGAUUAGAGAGUUCAGC